rnacentral:lncRNA from 1 species
AAGAUUUCGAUGUCGUCAUGUACAUAUAUAUAAUAGUGCAUUGACUUGACAUAUCAACGAUAUAAGGAUGAGGCUUAGAAAUGGGGAAAUGCGAGGCUCUGUCGAGCUUUUUCUCCCGUUUCGGGCCGAAUCCUGCAAUCUAAAAAAACAUUUUCAAUUGUUGUUUAAUGUGUUAAUUUUAUCAUUUGAUUCAAUUAUUGGGAAACUUCCCCCUUUUAUAAAAAGACCUCAUAUCGUGCAGGCGGAGAAAUAAGCAACACGAUGAAAUGUACAUUACCUGUUGAAAUUAGAAAGGAGUGCAGUAUAAAAAAUAAUCUUCUCAAUUUCAUAAUAAAGGUUUGAUCUUCAUGAGGAAAUUUGAAGAAUACGAUAUAACUGUGCUUGGUACCAUUUAAAAAAGAAGUAAAAAGUAAAACAGCAGUUCUUUGUAUUUGGUCAUUAUUUUUUGGUCUUUGAUAUUGAUAAUAUUUAUUAUAGUUUUUAAUCUUCACAGCUGCUAUUUUAUUUAAAGUAUCAAAUUAUUUUAUCAACACAUUUACAAUUAAUGUACUAUUAUAAUUUCUUGCCCUUUAUAGUUUGAUUGCACUUUGGCAAAUGCAUGUACUAUUCACAAUUUGAAUGCAACGCUGAGAAGUCAUUUAUAAGUACAGUGACAGACAGAUAUCUAUCGUUCAUACCAGUGCUUGAUUAAUUGAUUGAUUUUUGCUUAACGUCCAGUGGCAAAUACUUCAGGCCGAAAACAAAGUAAGAAUAAAUCCAAUAGGUAGGUCUGAGAUGAAGGUCUGUGAAAUUUGGACUAACACUUGAAAAUAAGGGUAAUUGGAAAGAGAUAGAAAUAAAGCCUUAGCCCAGGUGACACCCGUGUUUCUAUAACUGUUCAUAAGUAAUAAUCAAGUUAGACUUUUUGUGGAUAUAUUUAUAUACUUUAACCAUUAUGGCGGACUUUGUCAUUUUCUACUAUUCUUCUGAUAUGAGAGACUAUUUUUCGCAACAAUUAGCAUUCGAAAGUUGCUUACAUACAUCGCUCUAAAAAUUAGCUUGUUUGUUGGUUUAUGGUUUCCGAUGUCGUGUCAUUUGAAUGAGAAAUUCACCGAAUAAAAAUUCCUCUGAGAACUUAAAAUGAGCAAACAUACAAAUGAAAUAAAUAUCAAUAUCAAUACCAAUGUUUACAUGUUUUUUUCUUUUGAUCUAUUGUCUCAUUUUUGCCAGUUGUCUAACUCAAUUAGCCGACAAGUGUAAAAGGAUAUAUUUUUGGCGCAAAGUUUUACAAGUAAAAAUAGUUUUCAUUGUCAUUUUAUCUGCUGUAAUACUUUCAAACAUUAGAUUCUUUUAUUUCUUUAUUUAGGUCGUUCUCAUGUCGGAGCUUUACUUGGAAAUAGGGGUUAAAUCUAAAAUAGACGGACACGUGUACUAAUGUUAUAUCGAAUUAAUUGUAACAUAUCAGUUUACGGAAAAGGAUUUAAUAUUUUUAGUUGUGUUUUUAUAGGAAAUUUGAACACGUGUACUUGUUUUUGAAAAAUGUGCUUAUAUGGUGCCGGAUAAAAUUAUGAUUGCUAGAAAUCUGUAAAUUUCUAACUAACAACUUAAAAAUUGUUUAAAUUUUUUAUAAAUGUGUAAAUCAAAAUGUUAAACAAUCAACAAUGAAUCCAAAUUGUGGCGAAAAUUGAAAUAUAAAAGUGUUUUUUUUUUAGCGACACCUAUCAUUUUUCGCAUAAGGAGCAUUAGAUACAGUACGGUUUAAUGAAUGUUACUUUAAAAGUGAAAAAGUAAAAAAGCUUGUGGGAAGGGUAACUUUACUUUUUAACACAAGAAAAGAAAAUAAAAAAAAUAUGGUUUUGAAGUAUUUCACCUAAAAUAAAAAGUUUAGGGUUUUCACAAUGAUUAAGGGUCGCUGUAAUAUAUUUUUUUCCUGAUCUUCUGGAAGACAUUUAAAGUUGAAUUUACAAUCCAAAGAAACUCAGACUUACAUGGAAACUUUGCUAAUAAUGCAGAAAGUCCUUUGACAUUUACUUUCCAUUUGUUUAAUGUGUUGGCCAUUUGAUAAGAGUUUUUCUCAAAUGACUAUUCCUUGGAGUCGGUAUUAUUCUAAUUUUUUUUUUUUUUUUAAAUUUCCUAACAUGUGCUAACAAAGUAUAAUUUAUUUUAAUUUCUUAAACCAGAAAUUGGUCAGAAGAAUCAUUCUUUUCUUUCAAAAAAUGAACAAUUCGAUAAUUUUUAAUUUAAAAGAAAUGAAAAUUAGAUCAGAAUGGUAACUUCGACCUCUACUUUUACAAUGUCAUUUCAACAUUAAGUAUCAAUUUAUCAUAGCAGAUACAAGUAUGGAUGAUACAAAUUAUAAUUCCCGAAAACGUAUAUGAUUUUUAAAAUAUCUUAGGUCAAUAAAGUUUAUUUCAAGGUCAAGACUAAAAGAUUCUGAUAAAAAAAAAUAGUUUGUAAAACUUUUUAGGGUAUAUAAACGAACGUAAAUUUAUCACAUGAAAAAUAGAAAUGUAGAUGAAAGGAGAUGUGAAACAUACGUCCACGAAACAUCAAUAAAACGAAACCGAAAAAUAAGAAAAAUAAAAACACUUAGAAGACAAAUUUAUGUUUAAACCAAAACAUGCGUGUUAAACGAUGUCAAAAAAUAUAGAAACGGACUGACAUGGAAACUGUGCAGAUGAUCCGGGUUGUAAAGUAGAUUUCAAACUAUUGGAAUUGUUAUAAACCAAGCUACUGAAACUUUUGAUAAACAAAGAUUUGUUUAUCUUUCUUUUGUUUCGAAAAAUGAACAAGCAAUUCGAUUCUUUUGGAUUGAGAAGAAAUGAAAAUUAGAUCAGACUAAUAACUUUGAUUACCUUUUUUGUUUGUGAUGUUUUUUUUAUUAAACUGGUAAUAAUUUACCUUUUUCGUAAUUUGUGCACUUUGGCAUGUCAAUUUGCAUUGUCCCUUGGUGCCUCUUGCAGUUGUGUCACUUUAAAUAGUACUGACUCCUCAGCACCAGGCACGAGGAUGACAUACCAGUUAUGUGCAACUUCUUACCAUAUCUUACCAUAACAUUAAUGUCCCGAUACACAUUUAAUAUGCACCCCCCUCCCCCCCCCCCCCCCCCCCAUUGCCAUAUAGCACCGUCCCUUGGUGCCUCUUGUAGUUCAGCUAGAUAUAUUUAGCCUACUCACAGUAUUCUUUUUUGUUACUUUCUAGAGGUGUGUGAAAACUGUUGUUUCUUAGUUGUGUUUGUAACUAUGUAUACUGUAUUGUUUAUUAUAUUUGUAAAAGAAUAAUAUUACAAUGAUAUUAUAUUAUGCUCCUUGUGAGUCCAUUUUAUGGAAAUAAAGCAUUUUCUACUUCUUCUAUAGACAAUGUAGUUUCAAUAUCAAUAUAAAUAGAUCAACUCAUCAAUGAAUAUCUGAUACAAAAUAUAAUUCCCGAAAACGUCUGUUCAGUUUUUAAAUAUCUUGGGUCAAUAUACUAAAUCUAUUUCAAGGGCAAGACUUCAGGUUUCUGAUCAACACCAACGUAGAUUUAUCGUUAAAAGAUUAGAUAAAAAUUGUCGUAAGGAAGUUACUCUGUUUCUUUCAAUUUAACUUACUUAAAUCCUCAAAAAUAUAUAUUCAAAUAUCGACGACCUUGCACCUCUUAUCUCUUUUCUACUCUUUGUACUUUUGUUUUGAGUAUACCUAAUCCAAGGUCUUCUUUUUCACUGACCUUCAAACAUUUCUAGUAUACGAAUUGUACACCUGAAUAAUUAUCGCAUCUUCUACAACAUAAUUAGAGAAAACGAAUAUUCAAAUCUUGUGGUGUUAAGAAAAACACCAAGUAUAUUUGAAUAGUAAAAUAUUUAAACAAAACGUGAUUUUUUGUUAAAAAUAAAAAGUGUUUGAAAUCUCAAUUAAGGGAAUUGUUAUUUCUAAUAGCCUUUUUAAAAAGCUUGCUUACAAAAUGUAUAUUACAUUAAAAAAAAGUAUAGUAUGAUGUUUGUAAAUUGUCGGGAACCCAUAUAACAAAAAUCAGUAAAUCGGUCGAAAGUGUUUAAUUCGUAUAAAAAUAAAAAGGGGUUGCCAAAACAUGGCACAUCUUAUUGAUAUUUUCAAAAAUAAUUUAGAUAUAUACAUAACGGUUCUCUUUUAACAAAGAAAACGCAAUGACAUAGCUAUUCGUUUGAAUAAUUGUUGAUACUAUCUCAUUGUUUCAUCUUUGAUUAGUUUUUUAACAGUUUGGCAAACAAGCAAGACAAGACAAGAAAAAAAAGGAAUUUUGAUAUAGGGCUGAAUAAGCCCCCCCCCCCCCACCUAACUAAAAAAAAUCAAAAGUUUAAUAUCAAUAUUUGCCACAUUAUGUUUUAAAAUUGUUUCCUUUCAGAGCUAUUACAAAAGUGAUACUACUAUUAUGGAGUGCUGAGGUAAGCAACAACAAAAAUAUGUUGUAUUGUAUAUAUUAUCAUCUCUGUAACUAUGUUAUUUAGUUAAUGAGAAUAAAGAUCUAUCUAUCUACAAAAAUGUAACAAUAGUCGCAUUCAGUUUUACAAGACAUAUUUUUAAUGCAAUUUUCUUGAAACAAAAGAUCUGAUAUCAAAUUUUCUAAAAAUCAAGCUACAAUUUCUGUUUAAUGAAAACGACAUAAUAUGGAUUUUGUGAAAUUGAAACUAUAAGUUUUGUUUAAGGUGAAAAACUAAGUACUCAUUAAAUUUUCGGAAAAUGAAAGAAAGAAGAGAAUUCAAUGAAAAGAACAAAAGAAAACAUUUAUGAGAAAUGACCAGCAAAUUUUUGAUGGCGCAAAUUCUUCGCAUGAGCAAACCAAAAAAAAAAAACAAAAAAAAAAAACCACACACACACAUCUUUAAAUAUAAGAAUGUUUUAUCAUUUAUUUUUGUUCUUCACGUGUUUAAAAAAUUCAUUGCUACGGUAACUACCGAUGGAACCAUCUUGAAAAUCCAUCUUGUUACCAGUACUUAGAAAUGAUGUGAGCAGAUGGUCUUAUAACUUUUAUACACUCAGCCAAACUCAAUACCCAUUUCCAUGUAAACAUCCUAUAAUGUUUGAACAUUUACGUAAAAAAAACUCCAAUCAAACGAGCCGUAUGACGUAUUUCUUGUAACUCAUCGUCCGAUUUUCGGAAACCAGAAAGGAAAUAUAUAAAUGACUAUUAUAUAUUAUAAGCCUUUAAAUGGCUUGUUUACACGAGCAGGGUGAAGAGUUCAUAACUUCCUAUAUAUAUAAUGUAUAUAUUCUUUCAUGGAUGACAGGUCAUAAUUUUAAACUUAAGAUCUUUAACGUUCAUAUUUUGAUAACUUAUAUACCCUUUUAAACGUAUAUUUAUCUUCCUUUACUACUAAGUAUCGUUUUGGAUAGAGGCAUUACGCAGAACUCAUUGAUAUUUUCAGCAAUUCCUACAGAUAUUUAACGACGUAUUCUCUGUAAGGAAAUGAACUUUUACCCAUGAAGUCUAACUGAAUGCAAUGUUACAAGUGAUCGCCUCCCUGCUUACACGCCCUAAUAUUUAUUUCAAUUUGUAAAACCAAAAUCUACGACCACCAGAAUAAUGUUUCCAUUCUGAUCAUAAAUUCUCCUCUUUUUGAUGUUGGAUUUCCAAUUGACCAUUCUUACGGAGUAUUUCUUUUCAUUUUUGUUCUCCUUUAAAAUUUAUUUUACAAAAAGCGGAACAACGGGAAAUAUUACAUCUAUGAGAAGCCAGUUUGGUUUAAUUUUGUAAAAAAAUACUCUAAACGGAAUCCGAAUAUGCUUAGCAAAAUCAGUUCCUGGAAAGAAAAGAAUGUCAUAACUGAAAAAAGAAACAAAUGAACCACCAGGAAAAACAAUUCUGCUGGCUAAUUAGGCCCUAAAACAUUUUUACAUAUAUCAAUUCGGUGGUAAUGAAUUUAUAGGUUUGUUUCAGUCCUUUAAAGAACUAAAACCUUCGAAGUAGUAAAAACGGAAAAAAAUUACCUUACCAUUGUUCUACAUUCGGGUUUAUGUAACAUCGUAUACAGUUAUCUAUUUAUUGUUGAAGGUUGUUUGUUGACCUCUAAGUGUCUUCCUCUGUUUUUGUCGUAUGGUGUCUGUCUUAUAUGCGAAUAUUCCUCAUCUUCUUUAGUUCAUAUACUCUGUCUUUCUGUGGUUGUGUUCAUCAAUAAAGACACUACGGAGCCUUUGAAACCGAUGCGUUAAUCUAUUUGUGAUCAUUGAACAUCGGAGAAGAUUAAAAUCUGAAUUGUCAAAUGUUUUUUUUUAAUUUUUUUUUUGUGAAUUUUCCUUUUCUAACAUACAUGGGGGGUCAUACAUGCGAAAGACAGGUAGGGUUUUUACGUAUCACAAAAUAUUUUCUUUCCUUUCUGCAAACUUUUUUCUCCCGUUUAGUCAUUAAAAAUGAGAAAUUAGGAUUACAAAAUAGGCAAUGGUGAGCAAACAGAGAAUUACAUGUAAUGAUGAAAAAAAAGAAAAUGGAGUAAAAUAGGCCACAAAAUAAAGAGUAGUGAAAAUUGGGGUCCUUAGAUAUCAUAAAUAGAGAAUAAUGCGCAAAAAAUAAAGAAUAGAAAAAAACUGAUCUAAAAAAUAAUUGAUACAGAAAUUACCCCCCCCCCCUUUUUUUUCUUUCUCUCUAGACCCUCAUGAUCUUCAUUGCAGAAAUGUUACAGUUACGUUCACAAACCUGAUCGUUUACACAUCUCACUAUUAUUCAUAUGAACCUAAAAGCAAAAUAUCUUAAUGGGUUCAAGCUAUUUUAUCUAUAUAGAUUUUGUUUUUUUCAUUAUAACGACACUUAUUAUUGUUUUAGGAUAACUUUAGAAAGAUCAGAUGGAGCUUUAAAGUUUAGAAGACAACUGCAAAUCUUUUGUGAGCAUCAAAAACAGGGAGCAAAACAAAACAGUGCUUUCCAAGUUGUCAACUUAAGAAUUCUUCACAGUUUUGGGUUAAAAAUAUAGUGUGAAGGUAUUUUAUCUUUUAGAUGCAUGCUUAUUUAGUAAAUUCACCAAAUUCAAAUUUGAAUCCGUAUGCUGAUAAAAUAGAUAAAAUGGGUUAGACUCGACGUCCAAACGGAACUUUAAUAAGGAGUACCCAAAUUGCACAUAAGCUAAUAACUUCAGAUUUGUGAUUCUAUAUUGAGAAGUAUCUAAAUCGCAUGCACACAAGCUUAACAUCUGUGAUACCGUAGUGAGAACUCAAAAUCGAUGUUUUGCUUUAUUUCUCAACAUUUAUAAAAAUAAUUUGACAAACGUUUAGUAUGAUAUUAUAUAUAUAUGACUCCUUUUUGCAAGAAAUUGAUGCUUGUGAUUUAUUUCAAUUGCCCAUUUUAAAAGUUGAAUUGAUCUAGACGUCGCAUGUUCGCUGGAUUAUUGUUCGCUAGCUUGAGUCUGGUUAUGGGCGUUUCCGUAAAUGCUCUUUCUUUUCACUGGAGACUAACUCUGCAGUGGUAUAAUAUUAUAACCGUUUGUUGUUCAUCAUUUAGGCAUUUAGUGACAUUGGGAAAAUGACAAAUAAAGGUAAAAGAUAUCUGUCAUUUUUGGAGGGCGGUUGAAGAAAUGGUUUAAAUUAGAUACUCGGUUUAAUUUAGGUACUGCGACGUAAUUAUUUUUCGUGAAUUUAAUAUCACUGCGCCCCACUUAUGAAAACUUUUACUGUGGUAUAUAAUACAUACUGAUACGUUUUUCUGUAAUUUAUUUGCGUUUAAAUGAAGUUUCAAUAUGCAAAAAUAUUUUCAAUUCGGUCGAGUAGUGUGCAUGCACGAUUUGUUUCCUUCUAAAAAUCAUAAAAAAUAAGUUCAUUGAUAAAAUGUUGAGAUAUAAAAUUUGUCCAUCCUAUCGCUAGAAAAUAUUUUCUUUAUUUAUUGGGAUUUUUUUUUUCUGAAUUUACUUAUACAUUAUAGUGAUUGUCCGAUAUCAUCUACAUAAGGAGAUUAUAUUUAGGUAUCCUUAUAUAUUACGUCACCUUUAACCUAUGAUGGGCCUGAUGGGUUAUUUUCAUUCUUCGUGAUCGGCGCAUUUUCGCUAUUGUGAUGCGUUUUUCUAUAUAUUUUUUACUUUUUUAUUUACGUGAUCCGUGAUCAUGGAAAUUUAUUUUCUGUGAAUCGUGAUUGACCAAAAAAUCAACUCGUGAAUUGUGAUGAGACCCCCAACUCAGGCCCCUCGCCUAUUACAGUACAAAUGUAUAUCUUUUUUCGUUAAAUGGAACAACCUUAUGAUUGCGGUCAUAUUUACAUUGGAUUCCAAGAAAAACAAGGUCACCGGAUAUGGUAAGUAUAUAAUUAUAAGUAAUCCAUGUUGUUUACAAUUACAAUUGUUUAACCAUUAAAAGUAUAGCUAUACAUGCACUGGUCAUAUAUAUGUCAAGCAAACAUUUCUUCAUUAAUUAGUGGUACAAUUUUGAAGAAACUAUCAUAUGCUACAUAAAACAAAAGCUUACUUGAUAUUUCCAAUUUUCGAUGUUAAAAAAAAGAUUCAUGUUAAAUCGCGUCAUAUGAGAAAUCGACAUGCAUUUUGUUGUGCACAUCUAAUGAAAGAAAGUUAUAUGUGAGAAGUUUCCGUUAUCAAAAUAUACACAUUAUAUUCACUUUUCCAGGAAACGUGUCAAUAGUCCUAUUUAGCAGGUCCCUGGCGUUACAAUUCGAUAAAUUCUACCCAAUCGUUUUAGCUGAAAAUAUGGGUCAGCCUAACAAUGCAAACCAAAGCUGUGCAACAUAUAAUAUGUCAUUUGUUUAAAUGUUUAAAUUCACGAAGAAUUGUCUUAUUUAUAAAUAAAUUUAAGAGCAAUCUUGGUUUUUAUAUUUCUAAAAAUUGAAGUGAAAAUAUGUAAAUAGAUUUUUUACAUGAUAGAUAUUUAUAUAGAAAUUAAAUUAAUUACAAAAAAAAAAAUAAAAACGGCCAACAUAAAUAAAUCAUAAAAUGAUUGAUAUUUUUUCAUCACAAUGUCCAUUGCAUAUUCAUUACAAGAGCUGAUUAACAGUAAAUCAAAUUGAAAGAUUCUGCAAAAUGAGCAGCCGAAAGGGCGGGAUUUUGGACUGGCACUGAAAAAAGAUAGGAACCCAAAAAGUGUGCAGCAAGAAGCCAUCUUGGAACAAAAAUGAGAGUUGUAAAAGGACAGUUUUUAUUUGCAGAGAGCUCCCUAUUCUACGCAACGAUAUAGCUAUAUAUAGUAAGGUCCACGUGGACGCUGACUCAGAAAAAUGAACGACACCCAAGCAGUAAACAUAUAUAGGUUUUACUUACGGACAGGAGACGGACAAAAUAUAUCCCAGUCGACUAUUAUGUUUAAAAUUUUGAAAAAAAAAUGUCGAUUUGAAUGUCCUUGAAUUAUUAUAGAUAUUUAACUAAAAUAAAUUAUUUAAAAUAGUAAUUGAAAUUUAAAAAAAAAAAGCGACCACCGACCUCUACUCUAGUUAAAAAGCCUAGAGAUUAUUUAAUAUAAGCACUUCGAGUUGAAGCAAUAACAAUACUUCAUUCUCACCAUAAAAAGUAAAGGAUAAGUCACAGAGAAUUGUUUAUAACCUCUGUGUUGAUGUGAAAACUGCAAUUUUUUGUUUGUUUUAUGUUGGUUCAAAUUUUGACGAACAUUGGCCAUACAUAUCUUAUUAAAAUUUUAGAUUCAGAUUUUGCAGAUCUACAGUGUUAUUCCCUUUUAAUUGGUAACACAGGUUUUGCAAAAUAUAAGACUUGCACUCGAUUUUUGAGACGUUUUGAAUAUUUUUUUGUUUUCUUUUAUUUCAUUAAAUGGUUUAUAUGUCUCAACAUUAAAUUUUGCUCUUUAUGUUUAAUUUAAGCCUUCCUUUAUGAUGGCUAAGACAAAAUAUUUUGAAGUAUUUAUCCGGGUGUAUCUAAUGAGGCCCCUCAUGGGGGGGUCCUAGUAAUCACAUAAUCACCAUUUUUUUGCCAAUAUAAUCACAUAAUCAUUAAAUAUUUGCUUAUCUUUAGUAAUCAAAUAAUCAUAAACUAAAAAUACAGCCUAGGUAAUCAAAUAAUCAUGAAAUAUUUGGCUUAAUAAUCAAAUAAUCAUUAAAAAAACGGCCAAGUAAUCACAUAAUCAAAAACCCCAUGAGGGCCCUCUCUAAUCUGGGACCAAUAAACAAAUUCAUGUACUAGUCCCAUAUUUAGUAAAUGCUCUUAUUUUUAUUUGUGCUACAUAAACAUUUUAAAUACAUAGUAACAAUUUUAUUGUAUUGAUUUAAUUUUUAUAGAUAUUUUUUUUUAGCUUGCCCUCAGUUUCUAUCAAAUACGACGUUUAGUAGAUCUCUUUCAUAAUCACAUUAAAAUACUUCUAAGUAAAACCACAAAAGUUAAAUUAAUGUUGAGAGGAAGUAUCAGAAUUUUACGGUAGACUUAAUUAUUGGAUAAGAUAUAAAUGCGAUUACUAACACAAACCGCCGUUAAAUUAUUGGAAAAGUAAAUGAAUUGCUCAUCAUUGAAUUUAAUACAAUUUCAUUCAUUGUAUCCAAAAAUGAAUAUUAUUUUACGAGGAAUUACGAGGAAUUACAAGGAUGUGUGUGUGAAACCACACUUAAUACUGCAUCUAUUUGUGAACUUCACCUGUAUAAUUAUACAUAAUUCAGCGAAUUGUUUACAAAUAAAGGUCACGUGUGUUUUACUUUCACUUUAGCAAUUUUAUAUUGUGUAAACAAAUCCUUCCAAAGUACUGAAUAUUGAAACAACGGGCAUAAC